rfam:Mus musculus chromosome 6, GRC primary reference assembly.
GCCGGGUAUGGUGGUGCACGCCUUUAAUCCCAGCACUCGGGAGGCAGAGGCAGGUGGAUUUCUGAGUUCAAGGCCAGCCUGGUCUACAAAGUGAGUUCCAGGACAGCUAGGGCUAUACAGAGAAACUCUGUCUCAAAAAAUGAAAAAGGAAAAGAAAAAAGCCUCUUCAUACAAAUAGCCUAGUACAUUCCCCCAAUAUUUGUUUGUUUGUUUGAUUUUUUGAGACAGGGUUUUUUCUGUGUAUCCCUGGCUGCCCUGGAACUCACUUUGUAGACCAGGCUGGCCUCAAACUCAGAAAUCCACCUGCUU